UGGAGGGGUGGCAGAGUGGUCGAAUGCACCGGUCUUGAAAACCGGAGACGGGGCAACUCGUCCGCGGGUUCGAAUCCCGCCCCCUCCGU
rnacentral:tRNA from 1 species